GUUCUUGCGCUGUCCGGUGCGCUCGCGUCGGCCCUUGAAAAUCCGAGUGAGGGAGUGUGAUUUUCGUGCCGGACCGUACCCACAUCCGCAGCAGGUCUCCAAGGUGAACAGCCUCUAGUCGAUGGACCAAUGUAGGUAAGGGAAGUCGGCAAAACGGAUCCGUAACCUUGGGAUAAGGAUUGGCUCUGAGGACUGAGCCGGUCGGGCUGGGGACCUGAAGCAGGAACGGCACUGCACCGGGACUGGGCGGGGCUCGCCGUUCACGCGGCGCGGCCAAGCCCGGACCAGCGUCGGGACCUUCCUGUGGAAAGCCUCAGCUGCGCGGCGUCUGAGGGCUUCGUGCCCAAAGUGCUAUGCUUCGGCCGGCAAAAAACAGUCAACUCAGAACUGGCACGGACCGGGGGAAUCCGACUGUCUAAUUAAAACAAAGCAUUGCGAUGGCCGCUGGUCGGUGUUGACGCAAUGUGAUUUCUGCCCAGUGCUCUGAAUGUCAACGUGAAGAGAUUCAUCAAAGCGCGGGUAAACGGCGGGAGUAACUAUGACUCUCUUGGCACCGCUCUGCUCCCCGGACGCAAAUUCAUUGACCUUGUAAAGCUGAGGGUUAACGCCAUGCCAAACCGUGCGCGUACCAAGCGCGGCCAGAGUGGAGACACGAUGU
rnacentral:ncRNA from 1 species